GGGACCCAUGGAAGACCUGAGACCUAAGACACAAGGUCUAAGACUUCAGAUAAAAACCUAAGAUCCAAGGAUGGAAAGCCCUAGACACACAUAAAGACCUGGGAUUCCUGCUUAUCUAGAUGGACAGAAGGCCAAAGAGAGAACCAUGUCUCAAGACUAAAUUAGGUGGGAAGCUAGAAGCCUAUGACACAGAAUUUGGGAAGGAUAGAAGCCCCAAGACCAAAGGAUAUCUAAAGAUGAGAACACUAAACCCCAUCUUUUUUUCUAUUGCUAUCCUGUCUACCCUUGGACAUUUUUAGUUCUCCCUUUCCAGUUCUUAUGCUUUUAUUUAAGUUCACUUCUUUUGAGGAGCCCUUUUUGAUGUUGUUGUUACCUUAAGAUUACCUUUAGAUUGGCAAUAUUAUGCUCGGGCCAGUCUUAAGCCAGUUUUUAUCACAGUUUUGAGCUAUUAAGUGUUUAUUUUUUAAAUUUCCAUUUCUCUUCACCUCCACUCCUUGAGAGAUGCAUUAUAGGCAACAUUGUAUUUCGGUCCUCCCUUUUCCUUAGAAGCUCUAGCCUGAUGAGCAAAGGCAAGCAUCAGGCUGUUGGGGGAAAACGUCCCAGACUAUCUAGAGGAAAUGUGAAGAGAUGUUCCAGGCCAAUGAGAAGAAUUAGACAAGAAAUACACAGAUGUGCCAUACUGUUGAGAAGCACCAACCUGCAACACCUUUCUUCUUUGAGCUUGGUUUCUGGCAUCCUAAGACUACUACUGAUAAGAAUAAGAACAUGCCGUCAUCUGAUUUUUAUGGCAUAAAUGAAAUUGUGAACAAAGCCGUCUUUAAAGAAAUAGCCUCAUCUCUACCUUUCUACCAAAAAGGGAAUCUAUGCCAAAUAUUCUGAUAAAUGGGAAGAUACACUUGGACUUGUGAACUAAUGUGAAAUGCAGUAUCUUUGAAUUUUGAGUGUUUUGAAGAUUGAAAAACCUUGCUCAUCAUGGGUGACCACAAAAACAAUGUAAAGCCAUCUACAUGUCACAGCUGAGAGAAAUUGGGGAAUGUUGUCUAAUGUCAAAUAAAAUGUACUGUUUUGAAAGCUU